GGGGUUGUAGCUCAGUGGUACAGCACUUGCCUCACAUGCAUGAGGCCCUGAGUUCCAUCCUCAGAACCACA
rnacentral:tRNA from 1 species